rnacentral:rRNA from 1 species
UACGUAGAGUGCAAGCGUUGUCCGGAAUUAUUGGGCGUAAAGAGCUCGUAGGCGGUUUGUCGCGUCGGCUGUGAAAACUCAGGGCUCAACCCUGAGCCUGCAGUCGAUACGGGCAGACUAGAGUAUGGCAGGGGAGACUGGAAUUCCUGGUGUAGCGGUGAAAUGCGCAGAUAUCAGGAGGAACACCGGUGGCGAAGGCGGGUCUCUGGGCCAUAACUGACGCUGAGGAGCGAAAGCGUGGGGAGCGAACAGG